rnacentral:rRNA from 1 species
AUCAUGGCUCAGGACGAACGCUGGCGGCGUGCUUAACACAUGCAAGUCGAACGGUGAAGCUCAGCUUGCUGGGUGGAUCAGUGGCGAACGGGUGAGUAACACGUGAGGAACCUGCCCCUGACUUCGGGAUAAGCCUUGGAAACGGGGUCUAAUACCGGAUAUGACGCGCUCUCGCAUGGGGGUGUGUGGAAAGAUUUAUCGGUUGGGGAUGGUCUCGCGGCCUAUCAGCUUGUUGGUGGGGUAAUGGCCUACCAAGGCGACGACGGGUAGCCGGCCUGAGAGGGCGACCGGCCACACUGGGACUGAGACACGGCCCAGACUCCUACGGGAGGCAGCAGUGGGGAAUAUUGCACAAUGGGCGCAAGCCUGAUGCAGCGACGCCGCGUGAGGGAUGAAGGCCUUCGGGUUGUAAACCUCUUUCAGCAGGGAAGAAGCGAAAGUGACGGUACCUGCAGAAGAAGCGCCGGCUAACUACGUGCCAGCAGCCGCGGUAAUACGUAGGGCGCAAGCGUUGUCCGGAAUUAUUGGGCGUAAAGAGCUCGUAGGCGGUUUGUCGCGUCUGGUGUGAAAACCUCAGGCUCAACCUGGGGCGUGCAUCGGGUACGGGCAGACUAGAGUGCGGUAGGGGUGACUGGAAUUCCUGGUGUAGCGGUGGAAUGCGCAGAUAUCAGGAGGAACACCGAUGGCGAAGGCAGGUCACUGGGCCGCAACUGACGCUGAGGAGCGAAAGCAUGGGGAGCGAACAGGAUUAGAUACCCUGGUAGUCCAUGCCGUAAACGUUGGGCACUAGGUGUGGGGCUCAUUCCACGAGUUCCGUGCCGCAGCA